GCGCGCGUAGCUCAGCUGGUUAGAGCGCCGUGUUCCCAACCCGGAGGCCGUGGGUUCGAUCCCCGCCGCGCGCU
rnacentral:tRNA from 1 species